CUCAUUCUAGCCUCCUGGGGUUGAAAUGAUUACUCCUUUAAUUGAUUUGAAGAUUGUUAAUUUUUUAUAUUUGGAAACGCUUGGAAGCUUUCCUUUGUUUUGGCGUUAUGAAGAUCUUAUGCUGCAGGGAGAUUUCACCGAUGCCACAAAGAUGCUGCUGCAUCGAACGCAUAGGAUAAGAUGAUAUUAGUAAGUAUCUAUCAUCUACAUUUUGCUUUUGUCUUCAAUUUUGUAGGAUUUCUUUUCUUUCAACAACGUUUUAGAAAUAUAAAUACUUUCUUAUAUGUUUAUCCAGCCAUCCACAUUUAACUAGGUUGCAAAGAACAUUGAAGUGAUAACUGCAUGUGUAAGUACCAUGGAUGAGCUAGCAAAACAUACAUUUUUAUGCUAGAGUGCAUAUGGAUUAGGUAUGUGUAUUUGUUGGCAAUGUUCAUGUGUGAGAAAGCAAGGUCCAUAAGAUAUCUAGGGGAUUAGAGGUGGUAUGAUUUAAAGAUAAAGCAUCGUCUUGAGUGCUUUUUUUCAUGUGGUUGCUGCAUGGGCUUCAAAUAAUUUACUUGGGACUUCAUUCAGAAGUACAACUGGUAAUCCGAGAUCAAUACUGAGAUCAGACAUCAGAUACAAUAUAAUUUUUUUUGUACAAACAAAAUCUAUGAUAUCGUGCCAUUCUAUGAGUGUUUAGAAAUAAGUUUGGUAUCUGCUACAAUGUACAUAUAACUUGGUCAUCCUAAAGAAACUUUAUCUUGCAUAUUGCUUGGUUACAAGAUAAGAACUAAUAUGUAUUACAAAUAUCUAGGGAAAUCUUUUGAUUUUUUUGUACAUAUAUUAUCAGAGAUGCCAAAUAGCAGGUUGCUUCAAACCAGGGGAACUGACUGGUUCAUAGAUGGUAGAACGUUCAAUCUUCGACGAUGCUCAGGGAGCAAACAAGGGGAAUUAGGUUAGUACGUCUUUAAAAUAGCACCCAAGGGUGCACUCAAUAAUUCCAGUUUUUCAACUUGUACUGUUAUUGUUGAUACACAUUGUUUUGUGCAUACUUGCUAGGGAAAAGUAUAUUUUUCAUCCCUGGACUCGCUCAAAAGUAUAGAAAUGAUCCUUCAACUUUAAAACCGGCAAAUGUUAGUCCCUCAACUUCUCAAACCGGAUUAUUUUAGUCCCUUGACUCAACAAAGCUGUUUUCAUGCUUACUUGGCAUGGUUUUGACCAGUC
rnacentral:lncRNA from 1 species